rnacentral:rRNA from 1 species
UUAGAGGGAACUCGGCGUGCUUUACCGUGCAAACCGAACGAUGAAGUGGAGCUUGCUCCACGGAUUAGUGGCGAACGGGUGAGGAACACGUGAGAAACCUGCCUCGGAUUUUGGGAUAACAAAUGGAAACGUUUGCUAAUACCAAAUAACGUCGGAGAGUCACAUGACUUUCUGACGAAAGGAAUUCCGAUUCGAGAGGGUCUCGCGGCCUAUCAGCUUGUUGGCGGGGUAAUGGCCCACCAAGGCAACGACGGGUAGCUGGUCUGAGAGGAUGGUCAGCCACACUGGGACUGAGACACGGCCCAGACUCCUACGGGAGGCAGCAGUGGGGAAUCUUGCGCAAUGGGCGAAAGCCUGACGCAGCAACGCCGCGUGCGGGAAGAAGGCUUUCGGGCUGUAAACCGCUU